rnacentral:rRNA from 1 species
UGGGGAAUAUUGCACAAUGGGCGCAAGCCUGAUGCAGCGACGCCGCGUGCGGGAUGGAGGCCUUCGGGUUGUAAACCGCUUUUGUUCAAGGGCAAGGCACGGUCUUUGGCCGUGUUGAGUGGAUUGUUCGAAUAAGCACCGGCUAACUACGUGCC